CCUACGGGUGACAGCAGUGGGGAAUAUUGCACAAUGGGGGAAACCCUGAUGCAGCGACGCCGCGUGAGUGAAGAAGUAUUUCGGUAUGUAAAGCUCUAUCAGCAGGGAAGAAAAAAGACGGUACCUGACUAAGAAGCCCCGGCUAACUACGUGCCAGCAGCCGCGGUAAUACGUAGGGGGCAAGCGUUAUCCGGAUUUACUGGGUGUAAAGGGAGCGUAGACGGCGCGGCAAGUCUGAAGUGAAAGGGAGGGGCUUAACCCCUGAACUGCUUUGGAAACUGCCCUGCUAGAGUGCUGGAGGGGUAAGUGGAAUGCGGAGUGGAGCGGGGAAAUGCGUAGAUAGUAGGAGGAAAA
rnacentral:rRNA from 1 species